UCUGGUGCUGACUGGUGAAUUCGGAAGCAGGAAAGAGGGACAGAGUGGAUUUUACAACCAGAAUAAAUCUGGGAAAUGCCCCCAUGAAUGGAGCCAAAGAAAGGUUGGAGUUUGGGGAAUGGUGUGUAUUUGAAGUUUCAAAGUCAACUUUUAAUAACAGUGCCUCCAAGUGGUCUUCAGGAGCUCAAACACUCUCACCCAGAACAGAAAGGAAGUCUCCAAAACGAAUGUGAAAUUGACAAAUCACCGCACUGCUUUAGGACCCCAGCCCAUGGGAUGCUGUGAUCAACAUUCAGAGUGGAUCGUCCUACAUCAAUUACCCUAAUCUAGGAAAUCCCACAGAGCCAGGACCAAAGGGACCACUUUCCACUGGGUGUCCCAGAGACUAUCAGACUUUAGUAGGAUUUGAGGAGGACAAAUCGUGUCUUGUUCUUGGAAGAAGCCUCCUGGUGAAG